CUCUAUGAUGUUAAAAGAAGUUUUGUAGUAGGGUAAAAUCUGACAUCCGACCAUGAAGGUACGAAUUUAAUGUGCUUUCAUGUGCUUCUGCUAUUGUGGUUGCACAGAGGCGCUAUGUCUGAGAA